rnacentral:rRNA from 1 species
CAGUAGCCACGGUAAUACGAAGGGGGCUAGCGUUGCUCGGAAUUACUGGGCGUAAAGGGAGCGUAGGCGGAUGUUUAAGUCAGAGGUGAAAGCCCAGGGCUCAACCUUGGAACUGCCUUUGAUACUGGACAUCUUGAGUGUGGGAGAGGUAAGCGGAACUCCGAGUGUAGAGGUGAAAUUCGUAGAUAUUCGGAAGAACACCAGUGGCGAAGGCGGCUUACUGGCCCAUUACUGACGUUGAGGCUCGAAAGCGUGGGGAGCAAACAGGAUUAGAUACCCCAGUAGUCCCUGUCUCUUAUAC